UACAGAGGUCUCAAGCGUUGUUCGGAUUCAUUGGGCGUAAAGGGUGCGUAGGCGGCGCGGUAAGUCGGGUGUGAAAUCUCGGAGCUUAACUCCGAAACUGCAUUCGAUACUGCCGUGCUUGAGGACUGGAGAGGAGACUGGAAUUUACGGUGUAGCGGUGAAAUGCGUAGAUAUCGUAAGGAGGACCAGUGGCGAAGGCGGGUCUCUGGACAGUUCCUGACACUGAGGCACGAAGGCCAGGGGAGCAAACGGG
rnacentral:rRNA from 1 species